AGAGUUUGAUCCUGGCUCAGAUUGAACGCUGGCGGCAUGCCUUACACAUGCAAGUCGAACGGCAGCACAGGAGCUUGCUCCUGGUGGCGAGUGGCGAACGGGUGAGUAAUGCAUCGGAACGUGCCCUGAAGUGGGGGAUAACGUAGCGAAAGUUACGCUAAUACCGCAUAUUCUGUGAGCAGGAAAGCAGGGGAUCUUCGGACCUUGCGCUUUUGGAGCGGCCGAUGUCGGAUUAGCUAGUUGGUGGGGUAAAGGCCCACCAAGGCGACGAUCCGUAGCGGGUCUGAGAGGAUGAUCCGCCACACUGGAACUGAGACACGGUCCAGACUCCUACGGGAGGCAGCAGUGGGGAAUUUUGGACAAUGGGCGCAAGCCUGAUCCAGCCAUGCCGCGUGAGUGAAGAAGGCCUUCGGGUUGUAAAGCUCUUUCGGUGGGGAAGAAAUUGCUUGGGUUAAUACCC
rnacentral:rRNA from 1 species